UACAGAGGGUGCAAACGUUGUUCGGAUUUACUGGGCGUAAAGCGCGUGUAGGCGGCUUUGCAAGUCGGAUGUGAAAUCCCACGGCUCAACCGUGGAAGUGCAUCCGAAACUGCAUCGCUUGAGUCUCGGAGAGGAAGGUGGAAUGCUUGGUGUAGAGGUGAAAUUCGUAGAUAUCAAGCAGAACACCUGCGGCGAAGGCGGCCUUCUGGACGAUGACUGACGCUGAGACGCGAAAGCGUGGGGAGCAAACAGG
rnacentral:rRNA from 1 species